UACGGAGGGUGCAAGCGUUAUCCGGAUUCACUGGGCGUAAAGGGUGCGUAGGUGGUGAGGUAAGUCGGAUGUGAAAUCUCCGAGCUCAACUCGGAAAUGGCAUUGGAAACUACCUUGCUAGAGGGUUGGAGGGGGGACUGGAAUACUUGGUGUAGCAGUGAAAUGCGUAGAUAUCAAGUGGAACACCAGUGGCGAAGGCGAGUCCCUGGACAACACCUGACACUGAGGCACGAAAGCUAGGGGAGCAAACAGG
rnacentral:rRNA from 1 species